rnacentral:rRNA from 1 species
UACAGAGGUCUCGAGCGUUAGGCGGAAUCACUGGGCUUAAAGCGUGUGUAGGCGGAUUGCUAAGUACCUUGUGAAAUCCCACGGCUUAACCGUGGAACUGCUUGGUAUACUGGCUGUCUUGAGCCACUUAGGGGCAACCGGAACAAACGGUGGAGCGGUGAAAUGCGUUGAUAUCAUCAGGAACACCGGUGGCGAAAGCGGCUUGCUGGGUCUCUUCUGACGCUGGAGGUACGAAAGCUAGGGUAGCGAACGGG